rnacentral:lncRNA from 1 species
AGUGACGUCGGGGCUGCCGGCCGCCAGGCUUAGCGUAAGGCGCUUGGAGGAAGGGGACGGUGGGGACGGAGAGCAUGGGGAGUGAGCCUGAUGUCUACACUGCCCAAGCUGCAUGCUUCGUGCAUCGGCCGAAUAUUGCAACUGUUGCUGCAGCCAAGAUGAUCACGUGACCGAGUAGUCCAGGGCAAUGUGACCUAAAAGAAGAGCAGCUGUGAGGAUUGCCCCAGCUCUGCUCUCCCAGUUAAAGGGACAACAGCAGGCAUUGCUGCUUCCCUGCUUCCCGUUCCAGCUGAUGUCCGGAUUCCAUCAGGUCCCCACCUAUGUAAGCCACUACCAUGUGACAGGAUUCUGUCACUCUCCAGCCAAGGCACAUCUGCUUGGACUAUAAUUGUAGGCACGUUUCUUGCUGCUAGAAUGAUUCAACCACUUGGAAAAAUAAACAAGCCCAUAGAAGAGAAGGACUUUGGAAAUCAGCUUCGCCAGCCUAGCAGGCUGACGGCUGGCAGUGGAAGGGGUGGGCUCAGUGUCUUUCAGAAGCUACCCUAGGCCAUAGGGGCUGAAUAUCCCUGACUCACUUGGAACACAUGCAUCACACUGCAAGGCCCGCACUUUCACUGAAACUUGCUUCAUCACUAAAUGGAUAAAUAGAUUAAGUUCCAAAUAAAGCCAAAGGAGGGUUUUCCCGUAUUAGGUCUGAUGUUGGCUGAAACCCUGUAACUGUCUGCACCACACCAUUCCUUUGGAUUGACGCAUCCAUCGAGUAUCAUUGCUGGUUUAAAGAAUCGCAUUACCAAAUCUAAACAGUUCUGAGCAUCAAGUAAUGACUAUUCCGACGCCUAGAAAAUUCAAGAGCCUCCAAAAAAGCUGCAUCAUGAAAACUGGGCCCAGACCAGAGCUCCAAACCACUUACCCGGCUUCAAACGAUACUUUUUUUUUUUUUUUGCAAGUUUUGAGGUGCACAGAAGAGUGGCUGAUGGUAGUGUAAACUUCUGCUGCUUGGGCGUUAAAGCAAGCUUGGCUUCAGUUUAAGGAAGGACAGAGCAGGCAGCAGGCCCUCCAGGAUACAGUGUGUCUUUGGAGCCUCAGGGAAGGCUCACAUUGUAGAGCUUGUCACAGAAGAAAUAGAACUCUUAAAGACACCCGGGGCCCAGGAAAGGAUGAGGAGACUCAGAAAAAAAAAAAAUGACCAGGGCUUCUCCUUGGUCCUCCAUGAGACAUGCAUACUCAGAGUCAAUGAUAAUGGAGCAAAGGGACAGCAGAGAGCUCAGAUCUUGACCCACAACCACAAGGCAGAAGAAAGGACUGAGAAUUGAAAGGACCUUUUGAAGCCUCCAAGCCUACCCCCAGUGACACCCCUCCUCCAACAAGAACACACCUCCUAAUCCUUCCCUAAGCAGUUCCACCAACUGGGACCGAGUACAUGGGGGCCAUUCUCAUCCAAGCCCCCCAUUAACAUAGGGAGGUGAUGAGAUGGGGAAGAGCUGGGAGGAGUUGGGGGAGGGGAAAACAUGGUCAGAAUGUAUUGUGUGAAAUUUUCUUCAAUAAAAACAAACAAAAAUA